rnacentral:tRNA from 1 species
GUGGGCCAUCCAUAUAGCUGCCGCUCUCCUAAAGCGGGUGUCGCAUGUUCGAAUCAUGCCGGGGGCACCA